rnacentral:rRNA from 1 species
GACGAACGCUGGCGGCGCGCUUAACACAUGCAAGUCGAACGGAAAGGCCUUCUUUCCCUUGUGGGUGGCGGGUACGCGAGUGGCAAACGGGUGAGUAACACGUGAGUUAUCGGCCCCCAACGGGGGUAUAAGCCUGUGAAACUGGGGCUAAUUCCCGAUAGGGCGGCAGGGUGGUAGCUUUGUUGGAAAACGAUGUUCUAGUGGUUGGGGAUGAGCUGGCGGGCUAUCAGCUUGUUGGUGGGGUAAUGGGCUACCAAGGCGGCGACGGGUAGCCGGCCUGAGAGGGCGGACGGGAAAAGUGGGCCUGCGAUACGGCGCCGGAUCCGACGCGAGGACGCCGUCGGGAAGCAGGAAUAAGGGGCGGAAGACUGAGGGAGCGACGCCGAGUGGGCGAUGCCGGGUGUCGGGUGGUAACCUCCUUUCGACAGCGCGGAAGCCACAUGGUUGGAAGGGUGGUGACGGUAGUGGCAGAAGAAGCACCGGCUAACUACGUG